GUCAGACAUUCAGUUCUCCGAGUGAACAAGGACACAAAACCUAAUGCAAAAAUGAUCAAACUCCUUAAAACUGCUAACAUCUUUCUUCUUGUGUUGGCUGGCCUCUCAAUAAUGGGACUCACUUAUUUAAGCUACACCUUCAACACACUCAGAUAUCCCGAAGAAGACCAAAGAAUCUGCCUCAAAGGAGAAAGAGAGCACCAGGAAAACUUUCAGUUGCAA